rnacentral:rRNA from 1 species
AUGGCUCAGAACGAACGCUGGCGGCAUGCCUAACACAUGCAAGUCGAACGAGAUCUUCGGAUCUAGUGGCGCACGGGUGCGUAACGCGUGGGAAUCUGCCCUUGGGUUCGGAAUAACAGUGAGAAAUUACUGCUAAUACCGGAUGAUGUCUUCGGACCAAAGAUUUAUCGCCCAGGGAUGAGCCCGCGUAGGAUUAGGUAGUUGGUGGGGUAAUGGCCUACCAAGCCGACGAUCCUUAGCUGGUCUGAGAGGAUGAUCAGCCACACUGGGACUGAGACACGGCCCAGACUCCUACGGGAGGCAGCAGUGGGGAAUAUUGGACAAUGGGCGAAAGCCUGAUCCAGCAAUGCCGCGUGAGUGAUGAAGGCCUUAGGGUUGUAAAGCUCUUUUACCAGGGAUGAUAAUGACAGUACCUGGAGAAUAAGCUCCGGCUAACUCCGUGCCAGCAGCCGCGGUAAUACGGAGGGAGCUAGCGUUGUUCGGAAUUACUGGGCGUAAAGCGCGCGUAGGCGGUUACUCAAGUCAGAGGUGAAAGCCCGGGGCUCAACCCCGGAACUGCCUUUGAAACUAGGUGACUAGAAUCUUGGAGAGGUCAGUGGAAUUCCGAGUGUAGAGGUGAAAUUCGUAGAUAUUCGGAAGAACACCAGUGGCGAAGGCGACUGACUGGACAAGUAUUGACGCUGAGGUGC